CGACCCAGCUCCUGCACCCGGGCACCGCGGCCGGCAGGGGGCGCCCGGGACACUACAGGCGCGUCUGCGCCCGCAGCAAACCGGAACCCGUUCAGGCGCCCGGGGAACCGCGGCCGGCAGGGGGCGCCAGGGGCACUUGAUGCAUUUCCCCUUUUGUGUGCCUUCGGCUCUGCCACCAAGUCGCCUGCGGUGACAUCCACACAGACCCUGAUAAGGACCGCGUGUUUCCCGAGAACCAGAACGAAUCCGUCUGUGUUGGAGGCACCUGCCCUCGGCCCUCGCCCCUGGCCCCAGCCCAGCCCUAGCACGCGUGUGUGGAAUGAACGAGCAGACGAACAACGAACAACGAACAACGGGAGUGGCAGGAGUGACAAUUCGAGACGGCUCUGACUCCCAAACGGUGCUUUUCCACCCCGGGCCUGUUUCCUUUCCCCGCCAGGAGGGAGACGGCAGGAGGCAGCGUGCAGACAGGCAGGGGCCCUGGGGGGUGGCACGGAGGCUGCCGGAUGGAGAGGCAGGACCCCCCCCCCCCCGUCCCCAAACCGCCCCGGGGUAGUUCUUUCUCUCGGCGCUUGGUGAGCAAACCCUGGUGAGCAAACGUGUCUGGGGUAAAGCUGCCCGAGGAAUCCUACGAAACCUUUAGCAGCCGCGGUAACAUCUGGGGAAACGCCACCCUGCUGACCUCAGCACUUCCUCCCAGGGAGGACGGCGUGUCAAUUUCCAUCCCUCCGUGUUCAGCGUCAAGGCCAUACCACAGCCUCUUUAUUAUGCUCUAAUAUUUCUAGCAGCGCCUCUGCCUGCUUCGUAUUUCUGGGAAAUUACACUUAGAUGAGCAGUAAUUUCUGGGUAUGAUAAUAAGAUCGAAGCAAUUGUACUUGGGUCUCUCACUCCAUACGGGGAGGUCACCUUCUAUUUCACAGUGAUGGAUGGAUCCAGGCUUGCUAUUAUCUCAACCGUCUGAAGUCAGAGUAUUUCAAUUGACCAGCACAUCUAUCUAGUGACAAAUGUAGGAAAUGCUUCCUCCAUUAGAAAUGAAUUGAUUGAAAAGGAAAAGGAGGAAAGAAAAAAAAAAAAAAACGGGAGAGAGAGGCUGUAAUUUUCAGUUUGUCCAAAGUCACAGAAUGUGUUCUCUUCAAAAACUAUUUAUUUUCCCAGCAAGAUAAUGGUGCAUCUCCUUCUGUAUGAGCGUUCUUUGUUCUCACGAGGCGUCUGAUGAUUUGGCAAAGGAAUCUGGUGAUUUACUCGUCACAAAAACGCCACGUGGAAAGUCCCAACCCAGGCGCGGGGGCAAGAUGUCCGAGAUGACCGUAAGCCCCACUCUAGCAAAGCCUUGUUCAUUUUUAAAACCAGGGCAGCGGGUUUGACCCCAGCAAAGCAGUGCUGAGACGGCGUCCCACAGCUCCCGCCUCAAACGCGACUAAGUGGGAACGUAAGACGCGUCCGUUUCAUUCCAAGUGUAUGCCCUUGUAUUUUCUCUCUCCCUCACUUCCAGGCGAUACCAUUGCAGAAGAGACCCCACUUUCUGCCUGCUAACGCCGUCCUCUGGAUCACAUCUACCGGCCAAGGCAGAGCCCACGUGCACCGAUGCACACUGCGCUCCUGCACCCCUCGUACCCCAGCCCCCGCCCCCAUACCCACCC